UGGACCAGUCCCUACCCAUGAUGCACUGCAACAGUCCCUACCCACGAUGCACUGGACCAGUCCCUACCCAUGAUGCACUGCAACAGUCCCAUACCCUCGUGGUUCUCUUCCUCCGUUCUCACAGGAGCAAAGAAAUCUCUCGAACCACAAUGGCAUCAAUUAAGGGCCAACCAGAACAUCUGAUCUUGUCGUUGCUACGCUAAUAUCCCCUUUAAUGGAGCUUGUGGUUGAUCAGGUGACCAAACCCUCCUUCCUGAUGGGCCCCUGGGGGGGCUGUCAUCACGGAGUGACACCUCCCUGUGAACAACAACACCUAGUGGUUGUUGGCCGAAGCAUCGCCGUGGCAACGGGAGGAGAGUGGGGCUUAUCCGUGGCAACGGUUCAGAGUACUGAACAGCAGGUGGGAGAGCACUUUAAUCCCUUCACGUGCACACUACAUGCAGUGCUGUCGUGCAUGUGUGCUUGUGCGUGUUUGUGGUAUUUUUACAGAAAGCUAUUAAAGGUCAGAGGUGCUGUCAUAAUUCCCUGCAGCUUAGCCGCUCUGCGCGCCGGGCCUCUCAAUCCGCCCUGAAAACCAGGAAAUAGAAAAGAGACACAGGGACACAAAGGAGAACUGCUUCCUGCUCUGAUGGAGGGGCACUGGUGGAGGGGAGAGGAGAGGAGGGAGAGGAGGGAGAGGGGAGGAGAGGGAGAGAGAGAGGAGGGAAGAGGAUGCGCCACAGAGGGGGAGAGAGUGUGAAUUGUGAGAGAGAGGAUGAGAGGAGUAGAGCGAGAGGGGGAGAGAGGUAUGAGUAAGAGGAGGGGGACAGCGAGAGAGAUACAGUAGGAGAGAGUGCUAUUAAGGGGAGAUACUGCAGCAAUACGGAGCUGGGAGGCACCAGAAGGUUUUUGUACCGACUGAAGCUGUGAUGGUUGCAGCAUCAGGACCGGCAGACUCCCCUCGGUGUGGUCAGCUCAGUCUAACUCAGCCAGGUCCGAGGCCCCGGUCCGAGGCUCCGGUCCGAGGCCUCGUUCAGAGGCCGUGUUUCUGUUGAGAGCAGGUUAGUCUGGUGGCUAUUGACUAAACUGAGAUCAGGUUAGUCUGGUGGUUAUUGACUAACCUGAGAGUGGGUUAGUCUGGUGGUUAUUGACUAACCUGAGAGUGGGUUUGUCUGGUGGUUAUUGUGUUCGCGCCCCCAGACGGUUCAGUCCGGACUGUAUCGGAGCUCACAGGAAGUCUCUCUGGAGGAGAGCAUCGGUUAAACUAGCGUCAGAGUAACAGCGAGGAGGUUUAGACGCUGACCUACGAGGACGCAGCGAGAAAGACUCUCACCGAUGGAGAGAGAGUGAGGAAGAGGAUGAGACGGAUGGACGGCUGGAGAGAGUGAGGAAGAGGAUGGAGACGGAUGGACCGUUUGAGAGAGAGUGAGGAAGAGGAUGGAGUCGAAUGGACCGUUUGAGAGAGAGUGAGGAGGAGGAUGGAGACGGAUGGAGUUCUGCCCAGCAGGAGGUUGUAGGAUGAAGGGGGAAACAAACAUGUCUGAAACGUGUCACACAACGCGCAACGCACACAGCGCUGUAAACGAAACAUAAAUCAAACACAGCACACAACACACACAUAGCUGUAAACAAAACAUAACUCUAACACACAACGCACACAGAGCUGUAAGGCAAACAAGCAACGCAAACAGAGCCAUAGGCUGAACACACAGAAUACACACAACACACAAAGCCAUGAGAAUAACAUAAAAGGAAGCGCACCAUUUACAAAAAGCAUCGGCAUGGCAACCCAAACGCGGGGUCUCUUCUCUCUGAUGCCUGCUGUGAGUGCAGAGCGUGAAGGCGCAGUACCUGAUUCGGCCAUCGAAGGCGCUCUGUUCCCGUUCUUAGUCAGAGAAGGAUCGACCAAUCCCGUCGAGCGGCCUGUGGCCGCAUGGGUGGAAUCAGUCCGUCCGUCUCCUGGGUUGGGGGGCGUCUUGGUCAAGGUGCAGACUGUGGGCCUGAGGGGGUGUGUAGUUGUGUAGAGUUGUGUAGACAGGGUGUGCAGCUCUAUAGGGUGUGCGUUCCCGGAGCAGGGUGCAGCACUGCCCUGAGCUAUGUUCUUGUUGUUGUGCUGUUCUCUUGUUGUGUUGUUGUGUUGUGUUGUUGUGUUGUUGUCGGUAAAGCUCUGAGACAUCUGAGGGUCAGCUGCGACAGACUGCAGCUCUGACUGUAAACCGUGGAGCCACACACACACACACACGCACACAUACACUCGCACAUACACAUGCACACAUACAAACACACAUACCGUGCAAAUAUACAUGCACAUAAACAUGCACGUAAAUACACAAACACAUAAAUAUGCAUACACACAUGCACUAACACAUGCAUACACACACUUGCAUGCUCGCCCACAUGCAUGCACAUUCAUACACACACUAAACAUACCUAAACAUGCAUGCCUGUUUACAAGCACACGGCAAUCAUUGAAUCACUCUCUCAUAAACACACACACACACACAGACACACACAGCCACACACACACACACACAGAGACACACACAGCCACACACACACAGAGACACACACAGCCAUACACACACACACACACACACACACACACACACACACACACACACACACACACAGACACACACACACACACACACACACACAGCCAUACACACACAUACACAACCUG